GUGGGUAUAGCUCAGUGGCAGAGCACACGCUUGGCAUGCACGAGGUCCUGGGUUCAAUCCCCAGUGCCUCCA
rnacentral:tRNA from 1 species